CUAAUUAUGUUUUGCAAGUGUUGCUGAGUGCACUAAAGGAAUUUUGAAGGUUUUCUUUAUCUCUAAUCACAGGACAGGUUAAUAGCUUCUUUCUUUGUCUCUUAUGAUGAGUCUUUGUACUGCAGUUUCAUUACUUUGACUAUAUAAAUCGUUUUAAGAUCAAACUGUAAUAUGACUUUUAAAACUUAUACUCUUUCUCCAAUUAUGUUUUGCAAGUGUUGCUGAGUGCAUUGAUGGAAGUUUAAAGAUUUUAUUUAUCUCCAUUGACAGGACAGGAUACUAAAGGUUUUAAAUUAAGCUUAUAUCAUAUAAUGCUGGACAAAGAUUGGGUGCAUCUUUGCAGAGCUGAUCCAGCUUAUCAAAGAG